CCUACGGGACGCAGCAGUGGGGAAUAUUGCACAAUGGGGGGAACCCUGACGCAGCAAUGCCGCGUGGGUGAAGAAGCACUCCGGUGCGUAAAGCCCUGUCAGCAGGGAAGAAAAUGACAGUACCUGGACAAGAAGCCCCGGCUAACUACGUGCCAGCAGCCGCGGUAAUACGGAGGAUGCGAGCGUUAUCCGGAUUUAUUGGGUUUAAAGGGUGCGCAGGCGGUCUGUUAAGUCAGCGGUCAAAGCCCGGGGCUCAACCCCGGCCCGCCGUUGAAACUGGCAGUCUCGAGUUGGAGAGAAGUAUG
rnacentral:rRNA from 1 species